rnacentral:rRNA from 1 species
AGAGUUUGAUCCUGGCUCAGAUUGAACGCUGGCGGCAUGCCUUACACAUGCAAGUCGAACGGCAGCACGGGAGCAAUCCUGGUGGCGAGUGGCGAACGGGUGAGUAAUAUAUCGGAACGUGCCCAGUCGUGGGGGAUAACGCAGCGAAAGCUGUGCUAAUACCGCAUACGAUCUACGGAUGAAAGCGGGGGAUCGCAAGACCUCGCGCGAUUGGAGCGGCCGAUAUCAGAUUAGCUAGUUGGUGGGGUAAAAGCUCACCAAGGCGACGAUCUGUAGCUGGUCUGAGAGGACGACCAGCCACACUGGAACUGAGACACGGUCCAGACUCCUACGGGAGGCAGCAGUGGGGAAUUUUGGGACAAUGGGCGCAAGCCUGAUCCAGCAAUGCCGCGUGCAGGAUGAAGGCCUUCGGGUUGUAAACUGCUUUUGUACGGAACGAAACGGUCUGUCCUAAUACGAUGGGCUAAUGACGGUACCGUAAGAAUAAGCACCGGCUAACUACGUGCCAGCAGCCGCGGUAAUACGUAGGGUGCGAGCGUUAAUCGGAAUUACUGGGCGUAAAGCGUGCGCAGGCGGUUAUAUAAGACAGAUGUGAAAUCCCCGGGCUCAACCUGGGACCUGCAUUUGUGACUGUAUAGCUAGAGUACGGUAGAGGGGGAUGGAAUUCCGCGUGUAGCAGUGAAAUGCGUAGAUAUGCGGAGGAACACCGAUGGCGAAGGCAAUCCCCUGGACCUGUACUGACGCUCAUGCACGAAAGCGUGGGGAGCAAACAGGAUUAGAUACCCUGGUAGUCCACGCCCUAAACGAUGUCAACUGGUUGUUGGGUCUUCACUGACUCAGUAACGAAGCUAACGCGUGAAGUUGACCGCCUGGGGAGUACGGCCGCAAGGUUG